rnacentral:rRNA from 1 species
ACACUCCUGCGGGAGGCAGCAGUAGGGAAUCUUCCACAAUGGGUGCAAACCUGAUGGAGCAAUGCCGCGUGAGUGAAGAAGGUCUUCGGAUCGUAAAGCUCUGUUGUUAGAGAAGAACACGUGCUAGGUAACUACUAGCGCCUUGACGGUAUCUAACAAGAAAGUCACGGCUAACUACGUGCCAGCAGCCGCGGUAAUACGUAGGUGACAAGCGUUGUCCGGAUUUAUUGGGCGUAAAGGGAGCGCAGGCGGUCUGUUUAGUCUAAUGUGAAAGCCCACGGCUUAACCGUGGAACGGCAUUGGAAACUGACAGACUUGAAUGUAGAAGAGGAAAAUGGAAUUCCAAGUGUAGCGGUGGAAUGCGUAGAUAUUUGGAGGAACACCAGUGGCGAAGGCGAUUUUCUGGUCUAACAUUGACGCUAAGGCUCGAAAGCGUGGGGAGCGAACAGGAUUAGAAACCCCAGUAGUCCCA